GGUGGCUCAGUGGUAGAGCGCUCGCUUUGCAUGCAUGAGGCCUUGGGUUCGAUUCCUCAGCACCA
rfam:Dipodomys ordii contig_9106, whole genome shotgun sequence.